GUUUAUAUGACACCAGCCUUGGACUCGCUCUUGUAUGGCUUAAUGCAAAACAUGCAAAAUACGUGCCAAAAGACCUUGGUCGGGUGGCUCCAGCAUGAACCAGGAGUAAUAUAGAUGUGAACAUUAAUGCAGCCUGAUGUCACAGGAGACCCAUGUCCUAAGUGUGAUCCCGGUGGUGUGAAGAUGGACUUUGCAUCUGUACAUCUCUCAUUGUGGUUAAGGUGGUGAGGUGCACAUGUUGCAGGGGGACCUGUGGAACCUGCAGUGCGAUCCCUGCAGGUGAGUGCUUUGCUCUGGGUUCCUCUGCAUGAGCCUUGUUCCAGGACAUUGCCUUCCUAAUCCCGGAGAUGUAGGAUUGCACAGAUUGCAUGGGCACAUGUGUAUUAGUGAUGUGGUGGUAGUAACUCCCAUUUCAUGCAUUGCAAGGGCCGGCAUGCAAGUUAUAAUGCAUUCAGCAGCAACAGAAAAGCCAGCAACUUCUCUGUUUUAUGUCAUUUGGAAGAUAAAG